CUUCCCCGCUGUCUCAACCAUGAACUCGGCGAAAUUGCAGUACGAGUAAAGAUGCUCGUUACGCGCAGCAGGACGGAAAGACCCCGAGACCUUUACUAUAGUUUGGUAUUGGUGUUCGGUGCAGCUUGUGUAGGAUAGGUGGGAGACUGUGAAGCUUGGACGCUAGUUCAGGUGGAGUCAUCGUUGAAAUACCACUCUGGCUGUACCGGUCACCUAACUUCGGACCAUGAUCUGGUUCAGGGACAGUGCCUGAUGGGUAGUUUAACUGGGGCGGUUGCCUCCUAAAAUGUAACGGAGGCGCCCAAAGGUUCCCUCAGCCUGGUUGGCAAUCAGGUGUCGAGUGUAAGUGCACAAGGGAGCUUGACUGUGAGAGUGACAGCUCGAGCAGGGACGAAAGUCGGGACUAGUGAUCCGGCGGCACCUCGUGGAAGGGCCGUCGCUCAACGGAUAAAAGGUACCUCGGGGAUAACAGGCUGAUCUUGCCCAAGAGUCCAUAUCGACGGCAUGGUUUGGCACCUCGAUGUCGGCUCGUCGCAUCCUGGGGCUGGAGUAGGUCCCAAGGGUUGGGCUGUUCGCCCAUUAAAGCGGUACGCGAGCUGGGUUUAGAACGUCGUGAGACAGUUCGGUCCCUAUCCGCUGCGCGCGUUGGAAAUUUGAGAAGGGCUGUCCUUAGUACGAGAGGACCGGGACGGACGAACCUCUGGUGUGUCAGUUGUACUGCCAAGUGCAUCGCUGAUUAGCUACGUUUGGAAGGGAUAACCGCUGAAAGCAUCUAAGCGGGAAGCCUGCUUCGAGAUGAGAUUUCCAUGCACCUUGAGUGUGAGAGGCCCCCAGCUAGACCACUGGGUUGAUAGGCAGGAUGUGGAAGCAAGGACUAAAGACUUGUGUAGCUGACCUGUACUAAUAGGCCGAUGACUUUCAACACACAAUAA
rnacentral:rRNA from 1 species